rnacentral:snRNA from 1 species
AUACUUUCCUGGCAGGGGAGACAUCAUAAACAGGAAGGUAGCUUUCCUAGGGUGAGGCUCACCCUUUGCACGUGGGAUGAGAAUUAGGCCAUAGUGAAUCUACCUUUUCUACAGUUUUCCCAAAUAAGGAAAAAAUUAUGUGAUAAUGGGGGACUGCAUUCCUGUACUCUCCCC